GUUUAUUUACAGACAUAGUGAAGAACGGAGGAAGCGAAACACCUCUAUACGCCUUCAUCCUUGUAGCUGUGCUGCUGUUGUUACUGCAGCUAGGAGGAGUCAUAUUCCUAUGUAUGAGACACAAAGGCCAAAAAGGAGGAAGUACACAGUCAGGAGGAAUGCAGGAGCGAAAUAAUGAUUCCUCAUUGACGUAUGAAGCUCUUCAGCAUCGCUACAAUGCAGAGCAAAUGUACUAAACCAUUGGGCAGAACGCUGGGGUCCAGAAUGAAGCCUCAUCAAUGUAUGAAGCUCUUCAGCAUCGCUACAAUGCAGAGCAAAUGUACUCAACCAUUG